rnacentral:rRNA from 1 species
CCUAACACAUGCAAGUCGAACGGUAACAGGAAGCAGCUUGCUGCUUCGCUGACGAGUGGCGGACGGGUGAGUAAUGUCUGGGAAGCUGCCUGAUGGAGGGGGAUAACUACUGGAAACGGUAGCUAAUACCGCAUAAUGUCGCAAGACCAAAGAGGGGGACCUUCGGGCCUCUUGCCAUCGGAUGUGCCCAGAUGGGAUUAGCUUGUUGGUGGGGUAACGGCUCACCAAGGCGACGAUCCCUAGCUGGUCUGAGAGGAUGACCAGCCACACUGGAACUGAGACACGGUCCAGACUCCUACGGGAGGCAGCAGUGGGGAAUAUUGCACAAUGGGCGCAAGCCUGAUGCAGCCAUGCCGCGUGUAUGAAGAAGGCCUUCGGGUUGUAAAGACUUUCAGCGGGGAGGAAGGGAGUAAAGUUAAUACCUUUGCUCAUUGACGUUACCCGCAGAAGAAGCACCGGCUAACUCCGUGCCAGCAGCCGCGGUAAUACGGAGGGUGCAAGCGUUAAUCGGAAUUACUGGGCGUAAAGCGCACGCAGGCGGUUUGUUAAGUCAGAUGUGAAAUCCCCGGGCUCAACCUGGGAACUGCAUCUGAUACUGGCAAGCUUGAGUCUCG